UGUGUGAUCAAUAAAUCGGUCCAAAGAAAGGUUUAUUGAUUGACACGUUGUUUUAUCGUCAAUGUUUGAUCACUACGCCAAGAGUACCGCUUACAAGUCAAUAUCUCUGUCCAAAGACUGGAUAUUGAUGUUGUGCUUGGUAUCUUGUGAUGGGCCCUACCACUAUUUGAGAUUAUUAUUAUUUGCAUAUUAAAGAUAUUCAUGUGAGCUAUUCAUAAUAAAUGUUCUCUAAUUCAGUUUCAGGUUCUGCUGCUAAUAUCUCUGCUAGCAUCAAUUCAAUUCCAAUGUUAAAUGGCACAAACUUCAGGGCAUGGCAAGAGAACGUUAUGAUUGUUCUCGGAGUCAUGGACCUAGACCUUGCUUUACGGGUCGAUCAACCUGCUGCACUUACUGAUAAGAGUACCUCUGAUGACAAGAGGGAGAUGGAAAAGUGGGAACGAUCGAACCGCAUAAGCUUAAUGGUCAUGAAGCGUGCUAUUCCAGAAGCAUUCCGGGGCACUAUGUCCGAUAAGGUGACUACGGCUAAGGGUUUCCUUGAGGACCUUGAGAAGAGGUUUGCCAAGAAUGAAAAGGCUGAAACAAGUACACUUUUGGCAAAUCUUGUCUCAAUGAGGUAUAAAGGGAAAGGAAACAUUCGGGAGUACAUUAUGGAAAUGUCUCACAUUGCUUCAAAACUAAAGGCACUCAAGUUGGAUUUAUCUGAAGACUUGUUAGUGCACUUGGUUCUGAUAUCCCUUCCGGCACAUUUCAGUCAAUUCAAGGUGAGCUACAACUGUCAAAAGGACUCAUGGUCCCUUAAUGAGCUCAUCUCACACUGUGUCCAGGAAGAGGAAAGACUGAAGCAUGAAAAGACAGAAAGUGCUCAUUUAGCCACCACCUCUAAGGACAAAAGCAACAAGAAAAGGAAGAUUAAUAAGGAAGCUGCAGGUACGGCACCGCAAAAGAAACAACAUAAGGAACCAACUGAAGGCGGUUGUUGCUUCUAUGGAGCUGCAGGUCAUAAGAAGAAGAAUUGCACCAAUUACCACGCAUGGCGUGUAAAGAAAGGUACUCUUCUUCAUUUGGUUUGUUCUGAGGUUAAUUUAACUUCGGUACCUAGACAUACAUGGUGGAUAGAUUCUGGUGCAACAACUCACAUCAGUAUGUCUAUGCAGGGUUGCCUGAGUUGCCGAAAACCAAGUGAUGGUGAAAGAUACAUCUAUGCUGGCGACGGCAAUAGAAUGGAAGUAGAGGCAAUAGGAAAAUUUAGAUUAUUGUUAAAGACUGAAUUUUAUUUGGAUCUUGUUGAGACAUUUAUUGUACCGUCUUUUAGAUGGAAUUUGACUUCUAUUACUG
rnacentral:lncRNA from 1 species